rnacentral:rRNA from 1 species
UACGAAGGGUGCAAGCGUUAAUCGGAAUUACUGGGCGUAAAGCGUGCGUAGGCGGUUGGCUAAGUCAGAUGUGAAAGCCCUGGGCUCAACCUGGGAAUGGCAUUUGAAACUGGCCGGCUAGAGUGUGAUAGAGGAUGGCGGAAUUCCUGGUGUAGCGGUGAAAUGCGCAGAUAUCAGGAAGAACACCAAUGGCGAAAGCAGCUCUCUGGGACGGUACUGACGCUGAGACGCGAAAGCGUGGGGAGCGAACAGG